GGGGAUUUAGCUCAGUGGUAGAGCACUUGCCUAGCAAGCACAAGGCCCUGGGUUCGGUCCACAAUUCCGA
rnacentral:tRNA from 1 species